rnacentral:rRNA from 1 species
GAGAGAGUUCAAGAGUACGUGAAACUGCUCAGAGGGAAACGGGUGGGCCCUCGAAGUCCGGCGGCGGGAGGAUUCAGUCGGGAGGCUCGGACGACGGCCGGGCGCGGUGCCACGUCGCCCCCCCACUGGGGCGGAGGCCGCGCCACUCGGAGACGUCGCCUUCGGGUCUUCCGGCGCAUUUCUUUCCCGUCCGGAGGACGCCGCCACCGGUCGGGCGGCGGCCGUCGGGACGGGAGCUGGCAGGGGACCGGAGGCCCUCGGGCUUCCGGUCUUUGGCCUUCUCGUCCGGGCGCGCCGCCCGACCGAGAUCGAAUCUAGGGACCCCCUGCGGGUCCGGCCGCCUCCAUUCCGCCCUGCGGGAGCGGACGCCGUGGCAGAACAGCCCCCGCCCCUCGGUCGCACGGGAAGAACCCGUGGACGCGAGGCGGCGCGACUGCGGAAGGGCUUCGCUGGCCUCGGACUUUUCCGCGGGAGGAGGCGGUGGGCGGCGAGUAGGUCGGCAACCCACCCGACCCGUCUUGAAACACGGACCAAGGAGUCUAACAUGCGUGCGAGUCAAUGGGUCUCGAACAAGCCCAAAGGCGGAGCGAAAGCAAAUUGCGGGAGCCCUCCCGCAGAAAGUCGGGAUCCCCCUCCCCGCGUAGGAGGGGGCGCACCGACGGCCCGCCGGAAACCCGCCCCGUGCGGUCCGGCGGAGUCCGAGCACGCACGUUGGUACCCGAAAGAUGGUGAACUAUGCCCGGGCGGGACGAAGCCAGAGGAAACUCUGG